rnacentral:rRNA from 1 species
UACGGGAGGCAGCAGUGGGGAAUAUUGCACAAUGGGCGCAGGCCUGAUGCAGCCAUGCCGCGUGUAUGAAAAAGGCCUUCGGGUUGUAAAGUACUUUCAGUCGUGAGGAAGGUGUUAAGGUUAAUAACCUUAGCAAUUGACGUUAGCGACAGAAGAAGCACCGGCUAACUCCGUGCCAGCAGCCGCGGUAAUACGGAGGGUGCGAGCGUUAAUCGGAAUUACUGGGCGUAAAGGGCACGCAGGCGGUUAAUUAAGUUGGAUGUGAAAUCCCCGGGCUUAACCUGGGAAUGGCAUUCAAGACUGGUUAGCUAGAGUCUUGUAGAGGGGGGUAGAAUUCCAUGUGUAGCGGUGAAAUGCGUAGAGAUGUGGAGGAAUACCGGUGGCGAAGGCGGCCCCUGGACAAAGACUGACGCUCAUGUGCGAAAGCGUGGGGAGCAAACGAGGGAUUAGGAUACC